GAUGAACGCUGGCGGCGUGCUUAACACAUGCAAGUCGAACGAUGAACCGGGUGCUUGCACUCGGGGAUUAGUGGCGAACGGGUGAGUAACACGUGAGCAACCUGCCCCUGACUCUGGAAUAAGCGCUGGAAACGGCGUCUAAUACCGGAUACGACCACUUCUCGCAUGGGAUGGUGGUGGAAAGUUUUUCGGCCAGGGAUGUGCUCGCGGCCUAUCAGCUUGAUGGUGAGGUAAUGGCUCACCAUGGCUUCGACGGGUAGCCGGCCUGAGAGGGUGACCGGUCACACUGGGACUGAGACACGGCCCAGACUCCUACGGGAGGCAGCAGUGGGGAAUAUUGGACAAUGGGCGGAAGCCUGAUCCAGCAACGCCGCGUGAGGGAUGACGGCCUUCGGGUUGUAAACCUCUUUCGGUGGGGACGAAGCGCAAGUGACGGUACCCACUAAAGAAGCACCGGCCAACUACGUGCCAGCCGCCGCGGUAA
rnacentral:rRNA from 1 species